UACGUAGGGCGCAAGCGUUGUCCGGAUUUAUUGGGCGUAAAGAGCUCGUAGGCGGUCUGUCGCGUCGGAUGUGAAAUCCCGAGGCUCAACCUCGGGUCUGCAUCCGAUACUGCCCGGCUAGAGGUAGGUAGGGGAGAUCGGAAUUCCUGGUGUAGCGGUGAAAUGCGCAGAUAUCAGGAGGAACACCGGUGGCGAAGGCGGAUCUCUGGGCCUUACCUGACGCUCAGGCGCGAAAGCUAGGGGAGCGAACUGG
rnacentral:rRNA from 1 species